UCAAAGGGUAGCCUAAACACCAAGGUGUUCAACUUACAAUUGAAAAAUGUUCACAUAACCCGAACCCCUAUGA
rnacentral:tRNA from 1 species